AGUGAAUAGAUACCCUGGUAGUCCAUGCCGUAAACUAUGGAUACUAGCUGUUGGGGGUAUCGACCCCUCCAGUAGCGAAAGCUAACGCGUUAAGUAUCCCGCCUGUGGAGUACGAUCGCAAGAUUAAAACAUAAAGGAAUUGACGGGGACCCGCACAAGCGGUGGAGCGUGUUCUUUAAUUCGAUGCUAAACGAAGAACCUUACCAGGGCUUGACAUCCCUUGAAUUACUCCGAAAGGAGUGAGUGCUUUAUGAGCAAGGUGACAGGUGAUGCAUGGCCGUCGUCAGCUCGUGUCGUGAGAUGUUUGGUUAAGUCCAUCAACGAGCGCAACCCUUUAUACUUAGUUGUAUUUUUUCUAGGUAGACUGCCCCGGUAAC
rnacentral:rRNA from 1 species